rnacentral:rRNA from 1 species
UACGGAGGGUGCGAGCGUUGUUCGGAAUCACUGGGCGUAAAGCGCACGUAGGCGGAUUUUUAAGUCAGGGGUGAAAUCCCGGGGCUCAACCUCGGAACUGCCUUUGAUACUGGAGAUCUUGAGUCCGGAAGAGGUAAGUGGAACUGCGAGUGUAGAGGUGAAAUUCGUAGAUAUUCGCAAGAACACCAGUGGCGAAGGCGGCUUACUGGUCCGGAACUGACGCUGAGGUGCGAAAGCGUGGGGAGCAAACAGG